GAUGAACGCUAGCGGCAGGCCUAAUACAUGCAAGUCGAACGGUGUCUUCGGAGAUAGUGGCGCACGGGUGCGUAACACGUAUGCAACCUACCUUACAUUGGGGGAUAGCCUUUCGAAAGGGAGAUUAAUACCGCAUAAGACAGUAGCUGGGCAUCCAGCAGCUGUUAAAGAUUUAUCGAUGUAAGCUGGGCAUGCGUCCAAUUAGCUAGUUGGUGAGGUAACGGCUCACCAAGGCAAUGAUUGGUAGGGGAACUGAGAGGUCAAUCCCCCACACUGGCACUGCGAUACGGGCCAGACUCCUACGGGAGGCAGCAGUAGGGAAUAUUGGGCAAUGGAAGCAAGUCUGACCCAGCCAUGCCGCGUGCAGGAUGAAGGCGUUAUGCGUUGUAAACUGCUUUUAUACAGGGAGAAACGACUCUUGCGAGAGGCAUUGACGGUACUGUAUGAAUAAGCACCGGCUAACUCCGUGCCAGCAGCCGCAGUAAAAC
rnacentral:rRNA from 1 species